UGAAGACAAAGCAAAGCUAUUCUCAAAUCCUUAAGACACCCAGCAGAAGCUAUAAUUUUAGAGUUGGAGCCAUUUCAGCUGGAUUAAAGCAUAUGCUCACCCAGGUGAAAUGAAUUACAACUUUUAUCUGAACAGCUCUACUGCCGCUGUUGAGGGUCUGAAGAAGCAGUUUGAACCUCUCGAAACAGGUAAACAAACACAGUACAUGGUCUCAGUUUGCUCUGGUUGAAGAUCUGUUCCAUUACCUUCAGUGCCAAGACAGCUGGGAUCUUCUUAUCAUCCUUGUAUUGGGAUGACUGCAGCAAAGGCAUAAAACGCUCGCUUUCUUCAGGCAGCCCUGUGAAUAUCGUGCUCAUUUAAGAAGUAUGUAAAGAAGACAUCACCACUGGAUACAUGUUCUCUGGUAGCAAUCAAUGCACAGCAUAUGCUUUUGAUGAGGUUAGAUAACAAGCAUCACAUGGAGCAAGGAGUACCACGCACACACACCCUUCUGAAUAUGUCAGCAAUAAAAUGAGAACUACAAAGGUGAGCA
rnacentral:lncRNA from 1 species